UGCGUAGGCGGAUUAAUAAGUCAGUGGUGAAAACCUGCAGCUUAACUGUAGAACUGCCAUUGAUACUGUUAGUCUUGAGUACGGUCAAGGUAGGCGGAAUGUGUAAUGUAGCGGUGAAAUGCUUAGAUAUUACACAGAACACCGAUUGCGAAGGCAGCUUACUGGACCAUUACUGACGCAGAGGCACGAAAGCGUGGGGAGCGAACAGGAUUAGAUACCCUGGUAGUCC
rnacentral:rRNA from 1 species